rnacentral:rRNA from 1 species
AAAACGACUCUCAGCAACGGAUAUCUAGGCUCUCGCAUCGAUGAAGAACGUAGCGAAAUGCGAUACUUGGUGUGAAUUGCAGAAUCCCGCGAAUCAUCGAGUUUUUGAACGCAAGUUGCGCCCGAAGCCAUUCGGCCGAGGGCACGUCUGCCUGGGUGUCACGC